rnacentral:snRNA from 1 species
AUACUUACCUGGCAGGGGAGAUACUAUGAUCACGAAGGUGGUUUUCCCAGGGCGAGGCUUAUCCAUUGCACUCCGGAUGUGCUGACCCCUGCGAUUUCCCCAAAUGUGGGAAACUCGACUGCAUAAUUUGUGGUAGUGGGGGACUGCGUUCGCGCUCUCCCCUG